rnacentral:lncRNA from 1 species
UAUUCGUAGAAAGUCAUACAUAUAAAUUCAACUCCGUUUUCUAUGUCGGUUUCAGUGUGGUAAUUGUUAUCUCUAAUGUCCUUGAAACUCAACAAUGUUAUUCAGGAAUGUGGAUAAUAGAGUGCCUCAGAAAUGGUCAAGAUUGUACUAUUGGACAACAUUAUACGCGCCUUACCGUAUCCUUCUAUCAGGUUGGAUGGGCCUAAGAGUGUUGUCAGAGGUGCAUUCUUAGGUAUGAAGUUAGUGAAAUAGAUGUGUUUACACAAAAUGGUGUGCGUAGUUGCACUAUCUGCCAGACAACUAACUUUCCCACUAGUCAUACCUAGAAUGAAAAAUUAAUUUUGAAUC